rnacentral:tRNA from 1 species
GAGGGGGGNUUAACCAACAAGAACUGCUAACUCCUGUAUCUGAGCCUAAAGCCUCAGCCCCCUUG